UACGUAGGUGGCAAGCGUUAUCCGGAUUUACUGGGUGUAAAGGGCGUGUAGGCGGGUCUGCAAGUCAGAUGUGAAAUUCCCGGGCUUAACUCGGGAGGGUCAUCUGAAACUGCGGAUCUUGAGUACUGGAGAGGAUAGUGGAAUUCCUAGUGUAGCGGUAAAAUGCGUAGAUAUUAGGAGGAACACCAGUGGCGAAGGCGGCUAUCUGGACAGUAACUGACGCUGAGGCG
rnacentral:rRNA from 1 species